UAUGUCUGUGUUAGUGCCAUCCAGCGGCCUGGGCCUAAACCUGCCCGUGCACAUGAAGUGCGCAGCCCAUACUUUCAACUUGGUAGCCAGCGUGGAUGCCGACAAGGCUCUUGACAAUGCUUUGUUCAAGUCGGCCUAGAGGAAGGCUAUG